rnacentral:rRNA from 1 species
GACAGAGGGUGCAAACGUUGUUCGGAAUUACUGGGCGUAAAGCGCGUGUAGGCUGCCCUGCAAGUCGGAUGUGAAAGCCCUGGGCUCAACCUAGGAAGUGCACUCGAAACUGCAGGGCUGGAGUCCUGGAGAGGAAGGCGGAAUUCUCGGUGUAGAGGUGAAAUUCGUAGAUAUCGAGAGGAACACCGGUGGCGAAGGCGGCCUUCUGGACAGUGACUGACGCUGAGACGCGAAAGCGUGGGGAGCAAGCAGG